UUGUCGCUCGUCACUCGCUUCGGCGGUAUCGAGAGGAAAGUCCGGGCAACGCAGAGUAUCACAUUUCUUAACGGGAAGCUAUUGGCGACAGUAGGGUUAAGGUGACAGAAAACAACCGCCGGCCACGGCCGGUAAGGGUGAAAAGGCGAGGUAAGAGCUCACCGGGCACUGUGGCGACACGGUGCGUCGCACCACCUGUGAGUUGCAAGGUCAAGUAUAUCGGCAUUCAAGGGUUACUCGUCCAUUGCCGAGGGGUGGACUGCUAUAUCGCACUGGCAACAGGGCGGACAGAUAAAUGACAAGCGGCGGCCACGCCAGCGCAUGCGGGCUGGCCGACACAUAACCCGGCUUACAACUGCAC
rnacentral:RNase_P_RNA from 1 species